rnacentral:rRNA from 1 species
UACGGAGGAUGCAAGCGUUAUCCGGAAUGAUUGGGCGUAAAGCGUCCGCAGGUGGCUGUGUAAGUCUGCUGUUAAAUAGUGAGGCUCAACCUCAUAAAGGCAGUGGAAACUACACGGCUAGAGUGCGUUCGGGGCAGAGGGAAUUCCUGGUGUAGCGGUGAAAUGCGUAGAGAUCAGGAAGAACACCGGUGGCGAAAGCGCUCUGCUAGGCCGCAACUGACGCUGAGGUGCGAAAGCGUGGGGAGCAAACAGG